rnacentral:snoRNA from 1 species
UUCCUAAAGUGAUGAACAACUAUAUUUGCUACUUCAGACAAAGGCUCACCAGCUUUUGAAUGAGACAUAUUUUUAUCACCAAGAUCUCUGAUGAA